rnacentral:misc_RNA from 1 species
UACGGAGGGUGCAAGCGUUGUUCGGAAUUACUGGGCGUAAAGCGCGUGCAGGCGGCCGACUAAGUCCGGUGUGAAAGCCCGGGGCUCACCCCCGGAAGUGCGCUGGAAACUGGUCGGCUAGAGUACGGGAGAGGGAAGCGGAAUUCCUGGUGUAGCGGUGAAAUGCGUAGAUAUCAGGAGGAACACCGGCGGCGAAGGCGGCUUCCUGGACCGAUACUGACGCUGAGACGCGAAAGCGUGGGGAGCAAACAGG